rnacentral:misc_RNA from 1 species
AAUCCUAAAACUCUAUGGGCGCCGCAUAACCACGUCUAGGUAGCUUAAAACAAAGUGUCGACCUUGUAAGCCGAAGAUUGCAGCUUAACAAAUGCCCUAGACAUACCCAAAACACCCACCUAUACACCAAACCCCAACAUAAUCAAAAUCGCACACAAGAAUUAAAACCCUUAUAAGCACAAAGAUUUGGUCCUAGUCUUAAUAUCAACUCGUACCUAAUUUACACAUGCAAGUCUCAGCAGCCCAGUGAGAACACCCUUAAACCUGUUAAGGAAAAGGAGCUGGUAUCAGGCACAGAUUUCUAGCCCAUAACACCUAGCACCGCCACACCCCCAAGGGCACUCAGCAGUGAUAAAUAUUGACUACUAAGCGUAAGCUUGACUCAGUUAAUGUACACAAAGCCGGCCAACCCGGUGCCAGCCGCCGCGGCUAUACCGUCGGGCUUAAGUUGAUAACUACGGCGUUAAGCGUGUUUUGAGUACACAACAAAUUAGAAUUAAACCCAGCCCAGACAGUGACAUGUAUACACCCCUUGGAAACACAAAACGAAAGUUAUUCUAAUAAACACUCGAAUCCACGACAAUUAAGACACAAACUGGGAUUAGAUACCCCACUAUGCUUAAUCGUAAAACAUUUACUUACACUUCAACCGCCAGAGAACUACAAGUGAUUGCCUAAAACUCAAAGGACUUGACGGCGUCCCACCUAUCUAGAGGAGCCUGUUCUAUAAUCGAUAACCCCCGAUAUACCUAACCACCUUUUGCUAAUCAGUCUGUAUACCUCCGUCGCAAGCUUACCAUAUGAAUGUUAACUAGUAAGCAAAAUGAUCACUUCACCAGUACGUCAGGUCAAGGUGCAACCUACAAAGUGGCAAGAAAUGGGCUACAAUUUCUAACUUAGAACACACGAAUAGUCAUAUGAAAAAUGACAAUGAAGGCGGAUUUAGUAGUAAGGAAAAAAUAAAACGUUUCCCUUAACCAAGCAAUGAGACGUGUACACACCGCCCGUCACCCUCUUCAAUCAAUUAAUCAUCAGUUUAUAACAUAUACCCCACCCAAAGAAGAGGUAAGUCGUAACAUGGUAAGUAUACUGGAAAGUGUACUUGGAACACAAAAUAUAGCUUAAAUAAAGCGCUUCGCUUACACCGAACUUAUAUCUGUUUAAACCAGAUUAUUUUGAACUGCAAACUCCGCCCGCAAAUCUAACACAUAAUACACUAUAUAAAACAUUUAAACAAUUUAGUAAAGGUGAUUAAAAAUUUAAUAAGAGCCACAUACAUAGUACCGCAAGGGAAAAGUGAAAUAGAAAUGAAAUAAAUUAAAAGUCAAUAAAAGCAGAGAUCAAUACCCGUACCUUUUGCAUCAUGGUCUAGCUAGUCUAAACAAGCAAAUUACAAUAUUAAGCUUGUACCCCCGAAACCAGGCGAGCUACUUAAAAACAGCUAUUAGAGCCAACUCAUCUCUGUUGCAAAAAGCGAGAAGAUUUUUAAGUAGAAGUGACAUGCCUACCGAGCCUGAAGAUAGCUGGUUGCUCAAAAAAGAACUUUAGUUGCCCCUCAAACUACAAUAUAUAAUACAAACAUAUACUUUGAGAGCUAUUCAAAUAAGGUACAGCCUAUUUGAUACAGGACACAACCUAAAAUUAAGGGUAACAUAACUUCCAAUACCUAAGUAGGCCUAAAAGCAGCCACCUUUUAAAUAGCGUUAAAGCUUAACCUAAGUAUUUUGUAAUAAACUCCUAAAUACUAAACCCACCUACACAACACUGAGCACCUUUAUAAUCUAUAAAUGUUAUUAUGCUAGAACUAGUAACAAGAAAAUUCUUCUCCUAAAUGUAAGUAUACAUCAAAUGAUAUUUAUUUUUAAUGUAAUACCCCCUCCCCAGAAAUCUUUACUAACCUACUUUAUUAAACUUACACUAGAACACUACAGGAAAGAUUAAAACAAAAAGAAGGAACUCGGCAAACCCCAUCUCGCCUGUUUACCAAAAACACCACCUCUUGACUAAUUAUAAGAGGCCUAGCCUGCCCAGUGAUCAUUUCAACGGCCGCGGUAUCCUAACCGUGCAAAGGUAGCACAAUCACUUGUUCUCUAAAUAAGGACUAGUAUGAAUGGCAUCACGAAGACUAUACUGUCUCCUUUCUUCAAUCAGUGAAACUGAUCUUCCCGUGAAGAAGCGGGAAUUUAUAUAUAAGACGAGAAGACCCCAUGAAGCUUCAAAUUAAAUAUAAACUGCUAUCAUAAUAACACCCAAAUCUAGCAGGUCUCAUAUUAGUUUUAGGUUGGGGUGACCACGGAGCAUAAUAAAACCUCCCCAAUGAAAGAAUUAAUUUUUCUAACACAAGAACUAACAACUCUAACAAUCAAUACAUUGACAUAACUUGAUCCAAUCUUUGAUCAAUGAACUAAGUUACUCUGGGGAUAACAGCGCAAUCCAUUUCAAGAGCCCCUAUCGACAAAUGGGUUUACGACCUCGAUGUUGGAUCAGGGUAUCCUAGUGGUGCAACCGCUNNUAAGGGCUCGUUGUCAACGAUAAAAUCAU